rnacentral:rRNA from 1 species
UACGUAGGGGGCUAGCGUUGUCCGGAAUCAUUGGGCGUAAAGAGCGUGUAGGCGGCCCGGUAAGUCCGCUGUGAAAGUCGGGGGCUCAACCUUUGAAAGCCGGUGGAUACUGUGAGGCUAGAGUACGGAAGAGGCGAGUGGAAUUCCUGGUGUAGCGGUGGAAUGCGCAGAUAUCAGGAGGAACACCAAUAGCGAAGGCAGCUCGCUGGGACGUUACUGACACUGAGGCGCGAAAGCGUGGGGAGCGAACAGG